rnacentral:lncRNA from 1 species
CUCUUAGGCGGAUUCUCCUUCCUCCUGCUACUGAUACCAGUCAGGGAGUCUGCUCCAAGCAGACACUGGUGGUCCCGCUCCACUACAACGAGUCCUACAGCCAACCAGUGUACAAGCCCUACCUGACCUUGUGCGCUGGGAGGCGCAUCUGCAGCACUUACAGGACCAUGUACCGCGUUAUGUGGCGGGAGGUGAGGCGGGAGGUUCAGCAGACCCAUGCAGUGUGCUGCCAGGGCUGGAAGAAGCGGCACCCGGGGGCGCUCACCUGUGAAGCCAUCUGCGCCAAGCCUUGCCUGAACGGAGGCGUCUGCGUUAGGCCUGACCAGUGCGAGUGCGCCCCCGGCUGGGGAGGGAAGCACUGUCAUGUGGGUGAGUCAGCUUGUCCUCCCCACCUACCCAGGUGCUUGCCCCCGCCCCCUCUCUCAGCCCCUUCCUUUUUUCGGUAACUAGACGUGGAUGAAUGUAGGACCAGCAUCACCCUCUGCUCGCACCAUUGUUUUAAUACGGCAGGCAGCUUCACCUGCGGCUGCCCC